GAAGGCAGCGGAGCCUUUCCCGAGCUGAGACGCCCGUUGCCUGGCAACCCUUAUUUCUUACCUCCAGCGCGAAAGUGGUGCCUGCAUCUGCGCACCGCUUAGGUCGAUGCUAUCUUGUAAGGGCGCUGCUUCUUCGCUUAUCUCAUGUUGCUCACAGACGGUUUCUCCCUCCUUUGAAAGGUCUCAUGUGUGCGCGUGAAAAGGAGCUGCAGCCUGCAACAUGCGGGGAGGUCUGCGGAGAGACCCCUACAGGCAGAGCCACCACCCACACCCAGUGCCCCGGAAGGUGACUUCGAGGUCAGAUGUGGAUCCUGGAGUUCAAACAAACCCCUGGGGGGAUGGGAAGGAGGGGAGCAGUAGCUUCAGGAGGAG
rnacentral:lncRNA from 1 species